rnacentral:rRNA from 1 species
GACGAACGCUGGCGGCGUGCCUAAAACAUGCAAGUCGAACGGAGGCUUCGGCCUCAGUGGCGAACGGCGGAGUAACACGUGAGCAACGUGCCCCGGAGACCGGGAUAGUCGCGGGAAACUGCGGGUAAUACCGGAUGCGGCGGGCGGGGGGCAUCCCCCGCCCACCAAACAGUCUUUCGCUCCGGGAGCGGCUCACGGCCUAUCAGGUAGUUGGUGGGGUGACGGCCCACCAAGCCGACGACGGGUAGGGGGUCUGAGAGGACGAUCCCCCCGAGUGGGACUGAGACACGGCCCACACACCUACGGGUGGCAGCAGUUGGGAAUCUUGCACAAUGGGGGGAACCCUGAUGCAGCGACGCUGCGUGGAGGACGAA